UCGAAGAUGCUGGCCCUUUAGAGGUAAUUCUUUUGAACAAUGGCCGUUGAUGGCUAAGGUCUAGUUAGAAAAGUGGUAUAGAUGUUUGGUAACCAAGACAUGUAUUAGAUGUUUAAAAUGAAAACAAGAUUCUGAAAAAUGAUGGUAGAGAAAAUAACUUUGAGUUUAGGAUUAUCUUUUUAUUCUUUUCUAAUUAAUGUUAUGUUUUUACUCUCAAUUUUUCUAACGUUCUACAUAUUUUUAACAAUUGUGUAUUAUUUUUGUUUACAAAAAUAAAUGAAUGUAAAAAAAACAAAAACUCUUUGACAUUUCUCUACAACUGAGCUUUGUAUCUCACUAGAGCCUAUUUACAGACGUCGACUUGUUCUCGUCCGUUUUUGGCUCACUUAAUAGCUCUGCUCAUUCUCUGGAGAAAAAAGUUGUAUUAAAAGUACAGAUACAAGCCCUGCUGGAUCUGAGAAUUAACUAAUUGUGAUUGUGAUAAAUUUACACAGCAAAGAUUUGUGAAUUGAUUAAUAUAUAUUCUCUUAUGGAAUAUUAAAAGUUUAUGUGGGGGUAUGGUGCCAAGAAGGCGUCACCAGGAAGCCUAUUUACACAGUGAGGAAGAAGCAACAAACUGCUGUAAAACUACACUUGAAGAGUUUUAAGCUUUAGUUAUUUUGUUGUCUCAAAAAAUGAUUAUAAUUAUCAAGUAAACAACGCUUUUCUAAA